rnacentral:rRNA from 1 species
AUUGAACGCUGGCGGCAGGCCUAACACAUGCAAGUCGAACGGUAACAGGAAGCAGCUUGCUGCUUCGCUGACGAGUGGCGGACGGGUGAGUAAUGUCUGGGAAGCUGCCUGAUGGAGGGGGAUAACUACUGGAAACGGUAGCUAAUACCGCAUAAUGUCGCAAGACCAAAGAGGGGGACCUUCGGGCCUCUUGCCAUCGGAUGUGCCCAGAUGGGAUUAGCUUGUUGGUGGGGUAACGGCUCACCAAGGCGACGAUCCCUAGCUGGUCUGAGAGGAUGACCAGCCACACUGGAACUGAGACACGGUCCAGACUCCUACGGGAGGCAGCAGUGGGGAAUAUUGCACAAUGGGCGCAAGCCUGAUGCAGCCAUGCCGCGUGUAUGAAGAAGGCCUUCGGGUUGUAAAGUACUUUCAGCGGGGAGGAAGGGAGUAAAGUUAAUACCUUUGCUCAUUGACGUACCCGCAGAAG